GCGUAGAGGUAUUUCCACGCGGCGUCGCCUGCGGAGUCCCGAAGCUUCUCGACCCGCCGGCCCUACCUCUCUGCCCCGCAGCUACUUCAGCCGAAAACCUCGGAACAUUUGUCCAUCUUGAUUGAUUGAUUUCUUCGAUCGCCACCUGCCAGUUGAGUUCUCCGUCAGUUUCUCCCGUCUCCGCCGCGCUUGCCCCCGCCCGAAUCUCUCGGCAGCUUUUCCCGUCGUUCUACAGGCGGUGGCAAGUUUUUUUCGCGAUUAGAAAUCCGCGAAACAAUGGGCAGGCGCAACAGCUGCACCAUUUAUGUAGGCAAUCUCCCUGGGGACAUUCGUGAGAGGGAGGUUGAGGAUCUCUUUUACAAGUAUGGCUGUAUUGUCGAUAUUGACUUGAAGAUUCCUCCAAGGCCUCCUGGUUACGCUUUUGUUGAGUUUGAGGAUCCCCGUGAUGCUGAUGAUGCAAUUUAUGGCCGUGAUGGGUAUGACUUUGACGGCUGCAGGCUGCGGGUGGAAUUAGCUCAUGGUGGAAGAGCUCAAUCUUACUCGUAUGAUCGCCCAAGCAGCUUUAGCAAUGGACGCCGUGGAGGUGUUUCUAGGCGCUCUGAGUUCCGAGUUAUGGUUGAUGGUCUACCUUCGUCAGCGUCAUGGCAAGAUCUCAAGGACCAUAUGCGCCGGGCUGGCGAUGUCUGUUUUUCUGAUGUAUACCGCGAGGGCGGAGCAACCGUUGGAGUUGUGGAUUAUACAAACUACGAUGACAUGAAAUAUGCGAUUAGGAAGCUUGAUGAUACAGAGUUCAGAAAUGCAUUUUCAAGGGCAUAUAUCAGGGUGAGGCAGUAUGAUGCUAGAUCAAGAAGCAGGAGCCGUAGCCUCUCUUACUCAAGAAGUCGCAGCUAUAGCAGAUCUGUCUCUCGAUCACCCUUACCUGUGGAUGAAAGAUCUGGCCAUGCGGCGAUCUGGGGACUGCUUCCAUAGAAAAUUGGAUGCGUUGAGUUCAGCAUGAUGGUUUGGAACUAUGGAUAGUAGAGCUGGAUUAUCAGCACGUAUGGCCAGUGAGCAACAAGUCCUAGCAGCAAGAUGGUCCUGAUAGUAAGGAUAUGUGGAGUGGGUCUUGUGGUAUUCUUUAAAUGAUAUUAAUUCUUGGCUUAAAUUUCAUAUAAUCACUAAAAGGCCCUUGUUUUCAUUAAACUUUAAGUUUUGAGUUAGUUAAUCUUGCAUUCUACUGUAGAGAAGAUGAAUGGGAAAUGUUGUUUGUCAAUCAUUUUCUGGGGCAAGUUUGCUAAGAGGUUGGCAUUUUUUUUUUUGCGGGAGCUAAGAGGUUAGCAUUAACAACUGGAUAGAGAAGGAUGAAGGGCAAAUGGUUUUAUGGGGCAAGUGUACAUGCAAAGAGGUUGGCAUGACAAAUGCGGAUGUAUGUCUUGGUUACUUUCUAUGUUCAGUUUCAUAUUCAGUAGUCACAUCUGAUGAUAGGUAUAAAGAGCCAAAUGCAUAAAUAUGCACUGUGAUAUCGCUCUCGUAUAAUCUACUUAGCCUGUUAUAUUCCAUAGAGGAUGGGUAUGGUUGUCAGGUUGGUUUUGGUGUUAAUUUUGGAUUACACAACACUUCUGAGUAAUGAACUUGGUUUCUGAAACAUUUUGCAGGUCACUGUCAAGAUCUCGGUCUCCUGUUUCUUCGGUUUCUGGAAAAUCCGUGAGCAGAAGCCCUCGGAGCAGGAGCUUAUCCCGCUCUGCAUCUCCUGUGAGGUCGGAUUGAUCUUGGGCGCACCUGGAAGCAGUGAGUGACUACUUCAGGAUCGCAGUUUGCGUCGUAGGUGGUUGCAUAUGCUUUAUCAUGUUCUGCACAACGCUAUGUUUGCGGGACUGGAGCAUUGCGCUUAUCAUGAUGCCUGCCUGUCUACUUGUUAUGUGCUAUGUUCUCAGAUUUAGAGUUGUAUAUUCAGAGGAGACCUGUACCUUUUCUUGAAUGACUUGGAGAUUGAUCUGCAGUUUGUGGUAACUUGAAUUCAGAGGAGACCUGCACUUGUGGCAAUGUGUUAUGUUGUCACAUUAUGUUUUUCCGUAACUCUUAUGUUUGUAAUAAGCACGGCUGGCAUAGCCGCAUUAUGUUUUUCAA